GACGAACGCUGGCGGCGUGCUUAACACAUGCAAGUCGAACGGAAAGGCCCUGCUUUUGUGGGGUGCUCGAGUGGCGAACGGGUGAGUAACACGUGAGUAACCUGCCCUUGACUUUGGGAUAACUUCAGGAAACUGGGGCUAAUACCGGGUAGGAGCUCCUGCUGCAUGGUGGGGGUUGGAAAGUUUCGGCGGUUGGGGAUGGACUCGCGGCUUAUCAGCUUGUUGGUGGGGUAGUGGCUUACCAAGGCUUUGACGGGUAGCCGGCCUGAGAGGGUGACCGGCCACAUUGGGACUGAGAUACGGCCCAGACUCCUACGGGAGGCAGCAGUGGGGAAUAUUGCACAAUGGGCGGAAGCCUGAUGCAGCAACGCCGCGUGCGGGAUGACGGCCUUCGGGUUGUAAACCGCUUUCGCCUGUGACGAAGCAUGAGUGACGGUAAUGGGUAAAGAAGCACCGGCUAACUACGUG
rnacentral:rRNA from 1 species